rnacentral:rRNA from 1 species
AGCAGUCGCCGCGGUAAUACGUAGGGGGCAAGCGUUAUCCGGAUUUACUGGGUGUAAAGGGAGCGCAGACGGCAGUGCAAGUCUGAAGUGAAAGGUGUGGGCUCAACCCAUGAACUGCUUUGGAAACUGUAUAGCUUGAGUGUCGGAGGGGUAAGCGGAAUUCCUAGUGUAGCGGUGAAAUGCGUAGAUAUUAGGAGGAACACCGGAGGCGAAGGCGGCUUACUGGACGACAACUGACGUUGAGGCUCGAAGGCGUGGGGAGCAAACAGGAUUAGAGACCCGAUAGUCCCUGUCUCUUAUACA